GUGAAUUAAGGGAUUUGGAGUGAGGGCUAAUAGAGGAUGCAGGUGAAUUAUGGGAGUUGGAGUGAGGUCUGAUAGCGAUUGCAGGUGAAUUAUGGGAGUUGCAGUGAGGUCUGAUAGUGGGUGAAGGUGAAUUAUGGGAGUUGGAGUGCGGGCUGAUAUCAAAUGCAGUUGAAUUAUGGGACUUGAAGUGAGGUCUGAUAGUGGGUGCAGAUGAAUUAUCGGAGUUGGAGUUAGGUCUGAUAGUGAGUGCAGGUGAAUUAAGGGAUUUGGAGUGAGGGCUAAUAGAGGAUGCAGGUGAAUUAUGGGAGUUGGAGUGAGGUCUGAUAGCGAUUGCAGGUGAAUUAUGGGAGUUGCAGUGAGGUCUGAUAGUGGGUGAAGGUGAAUUAUGGGAGUUGGAGUGCGGGCUGAUAUCAAAUGCAGUUGAAUUAUGGGACUUGAAGUGAGGUCUGAUAUUGGGUGCAGGUGAAUUAUGGGAGUUGGAGUGAACUCUGCUGGUGUGUGCAGAUGAAUUAUGGGAGUUGGAGUGAGGUCUGAUAGUGGGUGCAGGUGAAUUAUGGGAGUUGGAGUGAAUACUGAUAGUGGGUUCAGGUGAAUUAUGGGAGUUGGAGGGAGUACUGAUAGUGGGUGCAGGUGAAUUAUGGGAGUUGGAGUGAGGUCUGAUAGUGGGUGAAGGUGAAUUAUGGGAGUUGGAGUGAGGGCUAAUAGAGGAUGCAGGUGAAUUUUGGGAGUUGGAAUGAGGUCUGAUAGCGGUUGCAGGUGAAUUAUGGGAGUUGGAGUGAGGUCUGAUAGUGGGUGCAGAUGAAUUAUCGGAGUUGGAGUUAGGUCUGAUAGUGAGUGCAGGUGAAUUAAGGGAUUUGGAGUGAGGGCUAAUAGAGGAUGCAGGUGAAUUAUGGGAGUUGGAGUGAGGUCUGAUAGCGAUUGCAGGUGAAUUAUGGGAGUUGCAGUGAGGUCUGAUAGUGGGUGAAGGUGAAUUAUGGGAGUUGGAGUGCGGGCUGAUAUCAAAUGCAGUUGAAUUAUGGGACUUGAAGUGAGGUCUGAUAUUGGGUGCAGGUGAAUUAUGGGAGUUGGAGUGAACUCUGCUGGUGUGUGCAGAUGAAUUAUGGGAGUUGGAGUGAGGUCUGAUAGUGGGUGCAGGUGAAUUAUGGGAGUUGGAGUGAAUACUGAUAGUGGGUGCAGGUGAAUUAUGGGAGUUGGAGGGAGUACUGAUAGUGGGUGCAGGUGAAUUAUGGGAGUUGGAGUGAGGUCUGAUAGUGGGUGAAGGUGAAUUAUGGGAGUUGGAGUGAGGGCUAAUAGAGGAUGCAGGUGAAUUUUGGGAGUUGGAAUGAGGUCUGAUAGCGGUUGCAGGUGAAUUAUGGGAGUUGGA